rnacentral:lncRNA from 15 species
CUUUUGUUUUGAAUCCUAGGGGCAUAGUCCGGAAGGUGUGCUUCAAAAUGAAUCUGCACAUGGAUUGCUGAACUGAGCGUAUGGUUUAACAACAUGCAUGCACAUAUUUCCACUCCGUACAAGGCCGACUUGUAUGACCAAAUCUCUGUCCCUGUCCUUCCAUUUGUCCGUCUUUGACAUUUUCCAUUUCUCUCUCUAUGCACCCUCUCUCCUCGGUGUGAACAGCGGAGACUGUGCAGGUGUUUCUUUAGAGAGAAACAUACAGCAGAAAUUAAGUAGAGGUGUCACUGUCACGGCAGGCAAUGUGUAGGAUCUGCACAGCAACUGUAAAUUGACAUGAGCAAGAUUUGUGUGUGUGUGUGUGUGUGAAUAAGUGAGAGAACAAAAAAUGAGCAGAAAGUUAGAUAAAGAAAAGGUAGACCAAUAAAGAAAGAAAAACAAAUGUGGCAGAAAAAAGACAUGUGGAGGUGAUGGACUGGCAAGGAAGCAAAACACACACAUAUAUAUACACACACACACACACACACAAGCCAUGCGGCGUGGGGGGAGGAGAGAGACAUUCUAGUUAAGACUGCCUUCAUGGAUCACUCUCACUUGCAUAAAGAGGGACAACUUUAUUGAGCGCAGGAAGAAGAAGUGCGAGGUGCAAAAUGAGGGACAACUUUAUUUUUUUCCAGGAUAAAAAAAGCAGAAGUUUGUGUGAGAGUGAGAGGAGAGAGCUCAUAGAGCACGAGAGGGGAGGAGAGAGGGAGAGAGAGAGAGAGAGAGAGAGAGAGAGAGGGGAAGGGGGAGAAAGACAAGAAAAGAGACUCAGAGAGACAGACAGAUGGAGAGAGAAGCAUGCAAGCGGCGGAGAGGAGGAGAAACAAAGCGUGUUGACUGAGGAAGUGUGCGUGCCAUGCGGGCCAUGUGCUCAGGUCCAGUUCUGCACAGAUGUUUCCAGGAACACCACUGAACACCCAUGUGUUCCCAAAGCCAUUCCAAGAAUAGGCGGACUCAGCUGUGUCUACAGAAGUGUGGAGUCGUCCCACCCAGGCGUGACCAAAGCGUCCGGCCCUCACGGUUCAGGGCUCUGUGGCUGCUGUCAGUUGCUCAGUAGGCAGUGUAGAUCCUGUGUAGCAAUCAGCAGCUACAUCUGGCUACUGGGUCUCUGA